UACGGAGGAUGCAAGCGUUAUCCGGAUUUAUUGGGUUUAAAGGGUGCGUAGGCGGUUGGAUAAGUCAGCGGUGAAAGUUUUCUGCUUAACAGGAAAAAUGCCGUUGAUACUGUCUGGCUAGAAUAUGGUUGCUGUGAGUGGAAUGUGUGGUGUAGCGGUGAAAUGCUUAGAUAUCACACAGAAUAUCGAUUGCGAAGGCAGCUCACAAAGCCAUUAUUGACGCUGAGGCACGAAAGUGUGGGGAUCAAACAGGAUUAGAUACCCUGGUAGUCCACACUGUAAACGAUGAUAACUCGCUGUCGGCGAUACACAGUCGGUGGCCAAGCGAAAGCGAUAAGUUAUCCACCUGGGGAGUACGACCGCAAGGUUGAA
rnacentral:rRNA from 1 species